AGUUUGAUCAUGGCUCAGGAUUGAACUGGCGGGAUGCUUUACACAUGCAAGUCAACGGCAGCACGGACUUCGGUCUGGUGGCGAGGGCGAACGGUGAGGUAUCAAUGUAUCGGAACGUGCCUAGUAGCGGGGAUAACUACGGUGAAAGCUGCAGCUAAUACCGGGUAUACGCCCUUCGGGGGAAAGCGGGGGAGUCUUUCGGGCCUCACCAUUAGAGCGGCUGAUAUCGGAUUAGCUAGUUAGGUAACGGCUCACCAAGGCGACGAUCCGUAGCUGGUUUGAGAGGACGACCAGCCACACCGGGGACUGGAGUAUUACUGGCCCAGACUCCCGCAUGGAGGCAGCAGUGGGGAAUUUUGGACAAUGGGGGAAACCCUGAUCCAGCCAUCCUGCGUGCGAUGAAGGCUUCGGCCAAAGCACUUUUGGCAGGAAAGAAACGGCACGGGAUAAUACCCCGUGCAACUGACGGUACCUGCAGAAUAAGCACCGGCUAACUACGUGCCAGCAGCCGCGGUAAUACGUAGGGUGCAAGCGUUAAUCGGAAAUUACUGUCAUGCAAAGCGCAAGGGUUCGGAAAGAAAGAUGUGAAAUCCCAGAGCUUAACUGGAACUGGCAUUUAACUACUGAGCUAGAGUGUGUCAGAGGGAGGUGGAAUUCGUGUGUAGCAGUGAAAUGCGUAGAUAUGGAGGAACACCGAUGGCGAAGGCAGCCUCCUGGAUAACACUGACGCUCAUGCACGAAAGCGUGGGGAGCAAACAGGAUUAGAUACCCCCUGGCAGUCCACGCCCUAAACGAUGUCAACUAGCGCCAGCUUUCGGGCCUUGGUAGCGCAGCUAACGCGCGGGUUGACCGCCUGGGAGUACGGCUCGCAAGAUUAAACUCAAAGGAAUUGACGGGGACCCGCGCAAGCCGUUGUGGAUGAGUGUGGAUUAAUUCGAUGCAACGAAAACCUUACCUACCCUUGACAUGUUCAAACCUGAAGAUUUUGGGAGUGCUCGCAAGGAGGAACCCGGAACACAGGUGCCGCAUAUUGCCGUCAGCUCGUGUCGUGAGAUGUUGGGUUAAGUCCCGCAACGAGCGCAACCCUUGUCAUUAGCUGCUACGAAAGGCACCUUAAUGAGACUAAGUCAUGACAAACCGGAGAAGGUGUGGGGAUGACGUCGUCCUCAUGGCCCUUAGGGUAGGGGUUUCACAUCGUCAUACAAUGGUCGGGACAGAGGGUCGCCAACCCGCGAGGGAGCCAAUCCCAGAAACCCGAUCGUAGUCCGGAUCGCAGUCUGCAACUCGACUGCGUGAAGUCGGAAUCGCUAGGUAAUCGCGGAUCAGCAUGUCGCGGUGAAUACGUUCCCGGGUCCUGUACACACACCGCCCGUCACACCAUGGGAGUGGGCUUUACCAGAAUAGUUACCUUAACCGUAAGGAGGGCGAUUACCACGGUAGGAUUCAUGAUCGGUGAAGUCGUAUCAAGGUAA
rnacentral:rRNA from 1 species